UCGCUCAGCCCGGGGAUGAACUCUCCCUCACCCCCUGACCCCCUCUUCAACUCCCACACAUGCACCAAGGCGUGAACCGGGGCUCCGCGGGGCCCAGGGGCCUCCUGAGCCACCUCUGCCGCAUUCCCCGGACACGGGGCUGGGGCAUGGCUGAGCUCAGCCCCGCUGGCUUCUCUCAGAUUCUGCACCAAGCCCAAGAACCUUGGCAGCAGUUUUGUCCCAAGCAGGAGGGUGCAGCCACCUCUUAACAAUUUAGUCUUAAUCUCCUCCUGGCCUGGACCCUCCAGACCCCACUGCCGCUCUCUGCUUGUCCCUGGACGCACAAACCAAAGGAAGACUGUGAGUCACUCUGGGACUUUGACUGCUGUCAGAUGGGGAUGUCCCCUCUGUUUUGGAGAAGUGAGCAGUAGCUUUUGCUUGAUGGCUCUGGAGGCCCUUGCCAGGCUGGGGGCUUGUGCUGACAUCUGGGAGUCGUGUGACAGAGGGUGCAGAAGGUGUCAGCUCUUGUUUCUGAAUCAUCUGGUCUGACUGUGUUGUGCUGGAGGAAACAGAAGCUUUCAGUAUGCUCGCCUGCUGGGUCCUCCGGGAAUAACGUGCUCCGGAAAUUUAUUACACUGUCUCUAGGCAGAGCCUACCACUGCUAUAUCAGGGAAUUACUUAAGGAGUUACUCAGGUCCAGGUGGCUGUUUGAGAACUUAUAUCAAGAACUUACAUCACCUGCCUUCCCUUGUAGUUAAAUUUAGGUCCCUUCUUUUGGCUCAUUUCUCCUUUUAUCAGAGCAUAAUUUAACCACUGGUCACUGGAGACAAAAGAAGCCUAAAUAAGCUUCAGCAUACACCUGAGAAACUCUGAUCAGAAGAGCUAAGAAGCAAUAUUUCUUCUGAAAAUCAGUAUCCUUUCACAGUGACUCUAGUAGCUUCUGCUCUCCAUGUUAGAUGAAGGAAGUAGCAGACAGAAGGAAAACAUAGUAUGACAAGAGAUAUCAGGAAGGCCAAGGAAAAGGUGAAGCAAAGGUAUUUGCUCACAUCAGAGAAGAAGAGACAAAACUUAUAUUGCUUUACACUUAAACUCCUUGGCUGAGUUCACUGCUGCAUUCACAAACAGGGACAGGAGGUACAGAGAGAGUGGUAUGAGUGACAGCAUCCUGUGUCCCAGACUAGAAAGAUAGUCAGGUGCUCCAACACUGUCACUGCAGGCUGGCAAAGGUGGUUAGGGUCAGGAAAGGAGGAUUUGAGAGACACAAUUCUUAAUACCAGAAUUUCCAAUUCCAGCUGCUGAUAGCAGAAAGUCUACGGAAAAGCAGCUUGUGAAUAUUUUAAGUUUGUAUUGCAAUUAAAUGCAUGUUUUAGUGCUUUGGAUAUUUUUGUAAAAGUACAAUGGCAGAUAUAGAGUACAUUUAAGUACAUUUGUACUCUGACUACUCGGGACUGCCUUUAUGGGGACUGGUGGUAGAGGUAUCUCUUUCUGUCCUGUGUCAUUAUCCAUAGAAUUCAGCUAGCCAUUACAAUGAAGCAUUUUAAGGCAAACCAACGCCAGUGACGGCUGCAGUGCGAAGUCUGCCCUGUAAACUGCAGUGGUUUGGGAGCUGAUUGACAAGCAGCUUAGACAUCUGGACACCAGGAGCAGAGAAGACAGCUGGAGCUGCCAACCUUUUCAGCUUAUCCUGAGCUUCGUUAUGAUCUACUACAACCAGUGCCUCCUUAUUAUCAAGUAAAGAACAAGCCGAGUGAUACUGCCUUUUUCCUUCCUCAGCUACUAUCAAAACAGUGCAACAACCCCAGUCACAAACUCAAGAGUCUUUUGACAGCAGCAAUUAAGCAACUUAAUUAAUGAGUGAAUAAAAAUGAUAAUAUUUACUGAAUGGGAGCAUCCUGUUUUGCAUUUUUAUUCAAACUGUGCACCUGAAGAAUACCACUGAGUAUACUACCUCCUCCCCUUCUGCUUGAAAGCUCUCUUCAUUUUUUUUCCCCACGCUAUUUUGACUUUGAAAGCACCCAAAAACUAUUGUAUGCCUAGACACAGGCAUGAUGCUGAGGCACUAAAUAACUCUUCCAGGCAGCUGAAAGGAAUAUGCUGCUGUCUUUGCUAUGGUUUUGCUGACCCUUAGAAACUUGGCUUAUAUUUAAGGGGCAAUUUUCAUGGUGCAUUUGUAAGCUUGAAAUUUACAUCAGAAUAGGUUAUUAAUUACUGAUAAAUGGCUAAUAAAGCAUUAAUGCAUUUGGUAAUUAACAAAUUUUGGACUUGCAGUGCUUUCCACCCUCUUUCUCAACGUGUUUCACAUGUAUGCAUACAGACACUGUUCCCCUAUAUUCUUUAUUUGACUGUUAAUCUCUUCAACCAUCAUAUAUUACAUACAUACACAUAAAUAUAUGUUUUAGUCUACAUGGGUUUUCUCAAUGAAAUAUAUAACCCAUCUCUACUGCAAGUAAAGCCCCAUACAUAAUUAUUUUGGAAUGACAGACAGUGAAUUCCUUAGCUAUUAUUUUUGACGACCCUGUCAUGGAUGCCAGGCAUAUAUUGUGGUGAGAGCCUGAGAAACUUGGGAAAACCCACCUGGGGAGCAAACUCCUUUUUUCUUUAUGGAAAGGUUCCCCAAGUGACAGGCCUGCAAUCCUGGGUGAGCUUAAUUAAAGUCAAUAGAGAAAACUAAAGCAUUCAAAAUUGCUGCCUUUGGGGCUUCCCCACUCUUCUUUUUCUUCAUUUGCUGACACUUUUAAGGGUAAGGUGCAUUUUAAAUUCCUUAUUUGGGGCUUGGGGCUCAGUUCAUCACAUUCCCCUUCUGUUCUGUAUCCCACAUUAAAUCUCCCUGACACUUCAAAGUGUUGUUUCCCAUGAUUUAUGGCUAACUAAUGCAGGUGCACUGGGCCUCCUGUGAGGUGCUGAAUGUCCUCUUUGACAUCAGUAUUAAUGAAUGAAAUUUUGGCAUACAAAGCCAGGUAAGGCACGUUGCCUAAAAGUGCAUGUAGGUAAACUGAGGCACCCAACAAGAUAUCAGUGAAACCAAAAGAAGCAUUUAACCUUGUUGGCACCCAGAGUUCUGCAGUAUUUCCUAUGCAUUUUGUAGUGUGAGUUCUGCUGAAAGUAUCCCCUUGGGAUUUUCUAAAAUGCACCUAACCAGACUUUGUGACCCUAGUCCUACCUCAUUUCUUCUUCUCUCCUGCCACAGUUGCACGUCACAGGCCAGAGACACACUGAAGCAGCAGAGCUAGGAGCACACAUGGAAAAAAAAAAGGCCUCUGUGUAAUAGGAUCUUGACCAUCUGCUGCACCUGCCGUUUCAAUCCCUUGUCUGUUUUGAAUCAUACAUUGUCAAAUGUCACAAUUGCUACCAGGCCUGAAGCUUGGAUUAGUUUUUGAGCUUGUAAUGCUUACUUUUGAAAUGAAUGGCAAAAUGCCUACUGACUUCAGCAGAAGCAGAGCUCAAGAACUGACAGCUACAAUCACCUUCAUUUGCACCCCACCCACAGUGGCAGAAUAUAUUGGAAGUGGUGUCAGCAACAGCAGUGGGACUGGGGCAUUUGUGACAAACUACCUUUGGGGUUUGCUUUUGGAAUAAAAUCCUCAUUUACCAGCCUCUGGUAAUGAGGUGGCCACAUGACUUUAGAGUGAAGGCAUUUUUAUUAGUGCCUAAUGGUAGAUAUCGUAAAUGAGGUUUGUGAAUUAAGAAAACACUUUGAACAUUCAAGUGAUCAAAAUCCCUGAUGAUAAAGAUGGGUGUCAGAAAUUCCCCAGUUCCAAUUGUUGGUCCCAUAGCACUUACAUGAUUCACUACAUGUUAAUCUAGGCUGUCUGUACAUCUAUUGUAGUGGGUGGGAUGUAUGUAUGGUGGGAUGAUAGUAAUUACAUAUUCUGUCCUCCACAGCACUCAGAAACGUAAGAGGUGUGCUAUGCAAAGAGCAGGGGAAAUUCGAAGUCCAGGUGCCAGCUCUGAUGGUGGUAGUGCAGUGAUGCUCAGUGAGCCCUGCCCCAGGAGGUAAGAAACCUGCGCUCAGCUCCUGUUCUUCAAACUGCUGGAGAGACCAGCCAGGGCACCAAGGUCGUAUUUCCCUCCACAGAGGGUCAAAGGCAAUGCUGCCAGAGCCACAAAUGCAAAAAAUUACUUUCUGUUCUAGGUACCACAGAUUUCAUCAGAUUUAGUGAGAUUUGGGUGCCUCAGACUCUUGGAAGUUUUUACUCUGAAUUUACCAAUCCAGAGGCAUGGACAUUCAUGGGAGCAGCAAACUGCAAACGCACUCAAUCACAAGUUGUUGGAUACAGCACAUCCUCAUCCCUAGAGCAGAUGAGAGAUUAGUGUGUUUGUUAACCUCAGUAUCUUUCCUGUUGAAUGAAAUGGGUGGAAAUCAGGUAUACACUGAGCAAAUGUUUAUUUUGACUGGAAGCCCUGUCACUUUGUGUAUUUAUGUGAAAUAGAGAGAUGUAUGCUUAGCCUGAGGAGGUAUCUGCACUCUUCAAAAAAAGGCCAUUGAUGAAUGGCUGUAAAAGCUAUAGUUUUAUCUGUUUUAUGUUCUUCUAAUGCUGCUAAAUUGUUGUAUAUUAGGUUAAAAAAUAGUUCAUUCUGACGUUACAUGAUGAGCACGUCUCGCAAUGGUAUGUGCAAUAUAAGCCUCUUUCAUUUGACGAUUUACUGCUGUUAAAAGGAAAUAAAAAUCCUCAUAACAUAUGAGAGAACAAUGUAGCUGAGAGAUUUUUCAAGGUGUUCAGCUUGAGUUCCUUGAACUAGGAAUAAUGUUUUUUUGACUCGAUGUAUCUGUGUAUUUUUAAUUCAGUUACACAAAUAUCAGGGGGGAAGAGGCAGCAAUUUUUUCCCUCAUAGAGAUGUUUUACUUCAUACUAAACUCCUUUACAACAACAGUAAUUAUUAAAAAAUACCACAGAAGUGCUGCAGUACAUGUUAUUAGUUACUAUUUAUACAGUGACACAUAUUGCUCUACAGACAAAUAAAAACAAUGUGGCUUUUCCUCUCUCACAGUGAUGGUUUACGUGCUUUUCAUUACAAGUUUAGCCAGCUGGUUUAGGUAUGACAAGUACUUCUCCCCAAAUCUAUUCUUUUUGCCCUAAGCCCCACCCUGAAAGGAUAAGUUUUUUUAAAAUCACAAAGCGUUUGUGCCAUUUUUGUCUUCUCUUCCCAUCUUGUGCCCCAUCCCCCAACUCACAUCCAUCCCCAAAAUUCUCUCGUUUUCUAAACUUUUUUUUUCAUGUUUUUUUCAGUCCCAUUGUUGCCAUCUUCAUAUCUGCUCAGUCCAGGUCUGGAAGCAAAACCAGCAGGUUGUAGUGCAAUAUUCCCAGUACUUCUGCCCAUCCUGGAAAUAAAAGUGUACCUCCAUUGUGAAACGUUUCCUGCAAAACUUACACAGAUUGAGGAGAAAAUUCAAAAAGGCAUUCCAGCAGAAUGCAAUUGCCUAAAUUGAUGUCAUCCAUCUGAUUCCUUACACACCUGAAGAUCAGCUCAGGGCUGUUUGAUCUCAAGUGACAAUGAGAGACGUUGAGAACCAAAUAGAAGAAAUCUGUUGCUGGAAUUGCACCAACCACGUAGGCUGAGCCAAACACAGUGGAGCUUCCUGAAUAUUACAGAAUCACAGAAUCAUUAAGGUUGGAAAAGACCUCCAAGAUCAUCAAGUCCAACCUUUGAUUGAUCACCACAUUUCCUGAACACUUCCGGGGUAGUGACUCCACCAACUCCCUCAGCAGUCUGUUCCAAUGCUUAACAAGCAUUUUCAUUAAGAACUUUUUGAUGUCCAGCCCGAAUUUCUGGCGCAGAGCCUAUCUCUCAUCCUGUCACUGGCUGCCUGGGAGAACAGACUGACCCCCAUCAUGCUACAACCUCCAAGUGGUCACAGAGAGUGAUAAGGUCCCCCUGAGCCUCCUUUUCUGCAAGUUAAACAACUCCAGCUCCCUCAGCUGCGCCUUAUAGGACUUACUCUCUACUUUCUACUUACUGUCUACUUACAGGACUUACUCUCUCUGCCUUCUCCAGAAAGGUAAUGAAGCUAGUGAAGGGUACAGAGUAAGUCUUUUAAGGAGCAGUGGAAGGAGCAUGAAUCUGCAAGAACUGUAAAUGAUAAUAAACUUCAGUAGUUUCAAGUUUUCGGAAGCUUUUCAUUGCUUUGACUACUUCAGCCUUUUGACUUACAGGACUGAUCAUUUCCUUGGCUUUUGAAUACUUGCCUGUCUAGGAUUCUCACAACACCUUUGUUUAACAAUUAUUUGCUGCAUGCUGCCUGUAUCAGUUGAGUGGGACUAUCAGCCUUUCCUUAACUUUCACUCCAUAUAUGUCAACUGUGACCACCACAGACCUGUAACUGAAAGGCAAUUUAUUGCAGCCGCUUUUAGUGUACAACUGUUUUCUCAUUUGUCAUAACUUUUUAAACAUCUGUAACUUGUUUCUCUAUGUGUAUACAAAUUGAUACCAAAUUAGACUAAGCAUGUAGCUAUCUGUGUUUUUUCCACCAUUAACAACUUAGCAAGGCAUUUGAUAUUCUCCUUUUUUGUAAAGGCUUGCUUUUGUGAUACUAUAAGAAAACAAUAUUUCUAUCUGAUUGAGUGCUGGGCUGUGAUUUUGAGCUUUACUAAAUAACAGGUAUGAUAGAGUCCUCCUUAAUUGCUGUGUAUGCUACUGGACCAUGUUGCUCAGGACUGUAACUAUUGGGUAGCUGCAUUGAAAAUGAGUGCACCUCUCACAAAAACUGAGCUUUAAUAAGCCAUCCUUAUUUGUCCACAUUUGCCAGCCCUUUCUACCACAGCAAUCUCUCUGUAAACACUUCUGAUAACCAAACUUGGGUCUAAUAAAUACACUACUCACUGAUGGAACUAUAAUUAUCCAAUCUGCAGGCUUUGCACAUAUAGGUAUUGUUGAAUCAGAUAUUCUAACACAGGCCCUGAUGUCUCUUCUGGCAACUUCACCACCUCAGUAGUUUGUGUUUUUCAGUUUUAAAUUGGUAACAUUAAAUGUCUUUAAUAGGUUAUUACUGGAAUCCUGUAGACAACAGAGAUGUAGUGAAUACAAAUAGAGUACUUGACAAAUCACAGACUGUAAUGGUUGGCAGAUCCCAUUGGCAAUUUGGUAAUGUGCUCAGGAUCACAGAUAUUAGAGCUGGAAAAGACACAUUAGGUAAAAUCCUAGGUUGAAUGAAGAAAAUGGCAGAAUUUCUGUUGAGUUCAAUGGGACCAGUUGCAUUAUAUCCUUUCCAGUAUCGAUCAUAGCAAUCCAGUCUGUGUGCAGCUUUUCAGGAGCUCCUUGAGUCCAAACACUGAGGCUUGGUAGGAAAGUAUGUAGCUAUAAGCUUUAUUGAUAUCUGUACUCAUUUAGCACUGGCCAAACUCCCAAGGCUCUAGCUCUGGGCUCAUUCAAAAUUUACUACAUUUCUUCUUGUUGUAUAAUCCUGGUCAGGAAUCUAAGGGACAUUACCUGGGACCAAUGCACCUGGGACAUUACAGAGAACAGGUUAAAGUGACUGAAAACUGUCACAAGACCCAAAAUGACUUCUGCUGAGCUUCACAGAGGUUUCUAGCAGGCUUAUUUAAUGUUGUGUGUUGGAGCCAUGGGCUCCUUCUUAAACCUUGACUCUUAUUAUUUUCUACUGUCAUCAGAAAUAUAAAUGACCCAUUAAAGAAGCAACAGAGUAUGCUUUUGAUAACAAGAUGCUCUCAGGUGGCAAACAGGCAGGAGGCUCCCAAGGAAAGGAGGCAGUUUGUGCUGAGGCUCAGGGUUACAAGAGCAGUGCAGGGCACUCCAGUAUUCUAUACCCAAUGCAUAACUUAGAACACCCUAAACCUCAUUUGUGCUCAGCUUGUCCUAAAUAUUCCUCAAGUCCAUUCUAAAAGUUGAGGUUUAAGAUCAGUAAAGUGGAAAUGUGACUUCAAUGCACUUUUCUACUUGUGGUCGUAAAGAACAUAAACUAAGAAUUGAGUCCCUGGGCUGGUUGCACAGUUUCAUUGUAAUUUCUCAAGGCUUCAAGCUUCUCUUCUGCUAAAUGGAAAUUAGGGGCCAGUCUCCAGAUAUGAGCCCUUGCGAAGAAAAGCUAACAGCUGCAAAACUUUACCUGGGAUGUAACUAGUGCACUAAUAUAUUCGGCUGAUAAAAUCCCAUGGUCAUAUAUUGUUUCAAAUCCUUCCACUGACUUUCAGGCAGUAACUGAAAAGGAAAAAUGCAAGGUGAUCAUUGCCUCAAUAAAAACCUUUCAAAGCCAAGUGUAAAUGAAUGUUGGAAAUUUCACAUUUUUUUCCCCUGUGCGUCUCACAGAUCUGAGCUCUGAGGAUCAAUCAGUUGCACAGAGGAGUCAUGACCCUGCUCUCAUUGCUCUAAGGAACUGUUGUCUCACUGCAUGCUAUGACCCUUGGCAUGAACCUGGUAAUAUUACUACUUGUGGGUCUAUCAACAACAAGCCCUCUGUGGUCCCAAUGUGCUUAGGAAAACUUAAUUCCUCUUGUUCCAAAUGUAGGGAUCUCUCUUGUGCCAAUUACCCUUUGACACUGCUGUUCAAGCUUACUUUCCAAACACUGGUUCCAUAAACACUACUCCCUUCACAGGGACAUAGGCUGGCAAUAGCAAGGAAAACUAGUGCAAAAAUGUUUUCUUUUGAUGUUCUGAUUUUGGGAUUGCUAAAUGUAUAUCACUGCCUUUUAGGAAAUUUUGCAUCAUGACUGGAUAGCUGACUUCCUUGUGACCUAAUCUUCAGUUUUCUUGUAGGCUUAGCAGACAGGUUGCAAAUGCUUUGUGGUCCUCAUGGUAAGUGUUAGAUCUUGCUAUGAAUGUAUGGAUGAAAUCAGAUUCCUAGAAAUCACUGUUCACAUAUGUGUUAGCUUUGACUGCCUGGGUGGUCAGUCACAAUCUCAAAGAAAUCUUCUCUGUAGCUAUA